ensembl:snRNA Gm26439 predicted gene, 26439
GUGCUUGCCUUGGCAGCUCCUUUACUAAAAUUGGAAUAAUACAGAGAAGAUUAGUGUGGCCCUGCAAAAGGAUGGCAUGCACAUUUGUGAAGUGUUCUAUAGCUUC